GAUGAACGCUGGCGGCGUGCCUAAUACAUGCAAGUCGAGCGAACAGACGAGGAGCUUGCUCCUCUGACGUUAGCGGAGGACGUGUGAGUAACACGUGGAUAACCUCCCUAUCAGUCUGGGAUAACCUCGGGAAUACGGAGCUAAUACCGGAUAAUAUAUUGAACCACAUGGUUCAAUCGUGAGAGACGGUGUUGCUGUCACUAAUAGAUGGAUCCGCGCCGCAUUGUCUAGUUGGUGAGGUAACGGCUUACCAAGGCGACGAUGCGUAGCCGAACAGAGAGGGUGAGCGGCCACACUGAAAGUGAGACACGGUCCAGAGUCCUACGGGGGGCAGCAAUAGGGAAUCGGGCGGAAGGGGCGAAAGACUGACGGAGCAGCGCGACGGGAGUGAUGAAGGUCGUCGGGUGGGAAAACUCGGUUAUUGGGGUAGAACAAUUGUGCAAGUGACGAUGCGCGAGUGAAGGUAACCUAAGAAGAAGGCCAGGCCAAAUAAGUG
rnacentral:rRNA from 1 species